CAGUAGCCGCGGGAAUACGAAGGGGGCUAGCGUUGCUCGGAAUGACUGGGCGUAAAGGGCGCGUAGGCGGCGAUCAAAGUCAGGCGUGAAAUUCCUGGGCUCAACCUGGGGGCUGCGCUUGAUACUUGGUUGCUUGAGUGGGGAAGAGGGUCGUGGAAUUCCCAGUGUAGAGGUGAAAUUCGUAGAUAUUGGGAAGAACACCGGUGGCGAAGGCGGCGACCUGGUCUUUGACUGACGCUGAGGCGCGAAAGCGUGGGGAGCAAACAGGAUUAGAUACCCCCGUAGUCCCUGUCUCUUAUAC
rnacentral:rRNA from 1 species